ensembl:lncRNA
CCUGUCUUCGUGAAGUAGGAAGCGCUCACACACUCAGCGCUGGGAAUUAAAAGUACGCCAUAAAUAUGGCGCCAAAAGAGUUCACAGGCUGAUGAUAGAUCUAGUGAGGAAGCAGGACUGGUAGAUGUAGUGAGGAAGCAGGACCGGUAGAUCGAGUGAGGAAGCGGGACUGGUCUGGGGGUGUUCGUGCAGAUAGCGGUGUUCAGGUCGGGCUCAGGAGCGACAGACCCAGCAACUAAAACAAGGCGCUGUGUUUUUUCGGAGGACCGUUGCGAAACUGGCUCGCAAUCUUUUUCUGAGUCAUCUCCCUGAAAGCAUCUCUUCUUCUUCACCCUUCAUCGGCACUGGGAGGAAACCAGUCGGGGCGCAGAGACCAGACCUGUCGGGUUCACACCAUAUUUGGACUGUUAUGGAAAUGCGACACGAUUUCUGAACAUCUUGCGCGCACCUCGCAACCUGCGAAAUCGUAACGGACUACCGCCGCUUACCAGAGAAAAUACCUUCUGGCCGUCUCUACUUUUCCCUAACCUCUGGAUCAGGACUCUCCACGUCUCCGCAGAUCGAUGUGACGUGCUGUCACGGCGGACAGAGGGACGGUCCUGUCACCGCCGGGGAGUCAGGAGGGCUUCCACCGCCUAGCAGCGCUAGCAGGCGGGCACCGUGCAUGUCAGGGUCCUGCUCUAAACUACAUGUGGCCGGCUUCAAAUGAGCUCCUAAACCCCCCGGACCCGCCCGCCGUCCACAGCCGAGGACGCUUCCCCGCUCCGCGCCGACUGAACGGGGUCACACAUACAUGAAGAUGGAGAGCGAAAGGAAGAAGAGGAAAUACUCGACCAGCAGUAAUGACUCUGACACCACUGACAGUCAGGUGAUGUCUUGGUCCAGUUCAUCCAAGAACACGGGCACCAACAGCACCUGGGUCCGCCUCCAGCACAAGAAGCCAUCAGAGUCCCUAGUGUGGACCAUCGACCCGACAGCUAUGCACCUCUGACUGUCAUGAAGUUUGUGCUG